AAGACUAUAGACCUGCGGAGUACCUGCGGAGGGAUCAUUACCGAGUACCGGGGCCUUCGGGUUCCUACUCCCACCCUAUGUUGACUUUAAAUGUUGCUUUGGCGGACCGGUGGUCUCACCGCUGGCCUAGGCUGGAGAGCGUCCGCCAGAGGAUUUUAAACUCUGUUUAACGGUGAAUUCUGAGUCUUGAUAAAUUGAAUCAAAACUUUUAGCAAUGGAUCUCUAGAUCGGAAGAGCACA
rnacentral:misc_RNA from 1 species